rnacentral:rRNA from 1 species
GAACCACACAAACGUUAUUCGGAAUUACUGGGCUUAAAGGGUGCGUAGGCGGCGCGGUAAGUUGAGUGUGAAAUCCCUCGGCUCAACCGAGGAAUUGCGCUUGAUACUGCCGUGCUCGAGGGAGACAGAGGUGAGCGGAACUUAGGGUGGAGCGGUGAAAUGCGUUGAUAUCCUAAGGAACACCAGUGGCGAAAGCGGCUCACUGGGUCUCUUCUGACGCUGAGGCACGAAAGCUAGGGGAGCGAACGGGAUUAGAUACCCCGGUAGUCCUAGCUGUAAACGAUGAGCACUGGGUUGGAGGGUCCUCCAUAGCCUUCCAGCCGCAGCGAAAGUGUUAAGUGCUCCGCCUGGGGAGUAUGGUCGCAAGGCUGAA